rnacentral:rRNA from 1 species
AUGUCGCACGCCGCUUUGGAAGUUGUGUGCUAGAACGUUAGGGGGCUGAACAGCCCUGCUAAGAAAAAGGCGCUUAGGGAGUUCGUGGACACGGUGCGUGUCGCGAUCAUAUGUAUCCUGGAGUCCAAGAUCGAUAGGGUGGACCAGUUCACUGUCCUACAAUGCAUGGGCCCAUCCUAUGAGGGUUUCACUUAUCUCCCGGCUUCUGUGAUGAGGGGUGGAAUUAUAGUGGGUUGGGAUUCAUCUAAGGUGUAA